rnacentral:rRNA from 1 species
CAAUCAAACCGGGAGAUAGCUGGUUCUCCCCGAAAGCUAUUUAGGUAGCGCCUCGUGAAUUCAUCUCCGGGGGUAGAGCACUGUUUCGGCUAGGGGGCCAUCCCGGCUUACCAACCCGAUGCAAACUGCGAAUACCGGAGAAUGUUAUCACGGGAGACACACGGCGGGUGCUAACGUCCGUCGUGAAGAGGGAAACAACCCAGACCGCCAGCUAAGGUCCCAAAGUCAUGGUUAAGUGGGAAACGAUGUGGGAAGGCCCAGACAGCCAGGAUGUUGGCUUAGAAGCAGCCAUCAUUUAAAGAAAGCGUAAUAGCUCACUGGUCGAGUCGGCCUGCGCGGAAGAUGUAACGGGGCUAAACCAUGCACCGAAGCUGCGGCAGCGAACGUAUCACCCAAGACAACUUUACGGAGUUGACGAUUGACGGAGCGAAGCGACGUCAAAGCGUUCAUUAAAGUCGAGUUGGCUUAGGGAUACGUUCGUUGGGUAGGGGAGCGUUCUGUAAGCCUGUGAAGGUGUGUCGUGAGGCAUGCUGGAGGUAUCAGAAGUGCGAAUGCUGACAUAAGUAACGAUAAAGCGGGUGAAAAGCCCGCUCGCCGGAAGACCAAGGGUUCCUGUCCAACGUUAAUCGGGGCAGGGUGAGUCGACCCCUAAGGCGAGGCCGAAAGGCGUAGUCGAUGGGAAACGGGUUAAUAUUCCCGUACUUGGUGUUACUGCGAAGGGGGGACGGAGAAGGCUAUGUUGGCCGGGCGACGGUUGUCCCGGUUUAAGCGUGUAGGUGUGUGUUCCAGGUAAAUCCGGUUCACUUUAACACUGAGGCGUGACGACGAGGCACUACGGUGCUGAAGCAACAAAUGCCCUGCUUCCAGGAAAAGCCUCUAAGCAUCAGGUAACAUCAAAUCGUACCCCAAACCGACACAGGUGGUCAGGUAGAGAAUACCAAGGCGCUUGAGAGAACUCGGGUGAAGGAACUAGGCAAAAUGGUGCCGUAACUUCGGGAGAAGGCACGCUGACACGUAGGUGAAGUGAUUUACUCAUGGAGCUGAAGUCAGUCGAAGAUACCAGCUGGCUGCAACUGUUUAUUAAAAACACAGCACUGUGCAAACACGAAAGUGGACGUAUACGGUGUGACGCCUGCCCGGUGCCGGAAGGUUAAUUGAUGGGGUCAGCGCAAGCGAAGCUCCUGAUCGAAGCCCCGGUAAACGGCGGCCGUAACUAUAACGGUCCUAAGGUAGCGAAAUUCCUUGUCGGGUAAGUUCCGACCUGCACGAAUGGCGUAAUGAUGGCCAGGCUGUCUCCACCCGAGACUCAGUGAAAUUGAACUCGCUGUGAAGAUGCAGUGUACCCGCGGCAAGACGGAAAGACCCCGUGAACCUUUACUAUAGCUUGACACUGAACAUUGAGCCUUGAUGUGUAGGAUAGGUGGGAGGCUUUGAAGUGUGGACGCCAGUCUGCAUGGAGCCGACCUUGAAAUACCACCCUUUAAUGUUUGAUGUUCUAACGUGGACCCGUAAUCCGGGUUGCGGACAGUGUCUGGUGGGUAGUUUGACUGGGGCGGUCUCCUCCUAAAGAGUAACGGAGGAGCACGAAGGUUGGCUAAUCCUGGUCGGACAUCAGGAGGUUAGUGCAAUGGCAUAAGCCAGCUUGACUGCGAGCGUGACGGCGCGAGCAGGUGCGAAAGCAGGUCAUAGUGAUCCGGUGGUUCUGAAUGGAAGGGCCAUCGCUCAACGGAUAAAAGGUACUCCGGGGAUAACAGGCUGAUACCGCCCAAGAGUUCAUAUCGACGGCGGUGUUUGGCACCUCGAUGUCGGCUCAUCACAUCCUGGGGCUGAAGUAGGUCCCAAGGGUAUGGCUGUUCGCCAUUUAAAGUGGUACGCGAGCUGGGUUUAGAACGUCGUGAGACAGUUCGGUCCCUAUCUGCCGUGGGCGCUGGAGAACUGAGGGGGGCUGCUCCUAGUACGAGAGGACCGGAGUGGACGCAUCACUGGUGUUCGGGUUGUCAUGCCAAUGGCACUGCCCGGUAGCUAAAUGCGGAAGAGAUAAGUGCUGAAAGCAUCUAAGCACGAAACUUGCCCCGAGAUGAGUUCUCCCUGAGACUUAGAGUCUCCUGAAGGAACGUUGAAGACGACGACGUU